rnacentral:rRNA from 1 species
GACGAACGCUGGCGGCGUGCUUAAAACAUGCAAGUCGAACGGACUUCUCAUGAAGCUUGCGAUUGAGAAGUUAGUGGCGGACGGGUGAGUAACGCGUGGGCAACCUGCCCCUGAGCCCGGGAUAACAGUUCGAAAGGACUGCUAAGACCGGAUAUACUUGCGGUGAAGCAUUUCACUGCAAGGAAAGGGAACGCUCGGGGAUGGGCCCGCGUCCCAUUAGCUAGUUGGUGAGGUAACGGCCCACCAAGGCGACGAUGGGUAGCCGGCCUGAGAGGGUGAACGGCCACACUGGGACUGAGACACGGCCCAGACUCCUACGGGAGGCAGCAGUUGGGAAUCUUCGGCAAUGGGCGCAAGCCUGACCGAGCAACGCCGCGUGAGUGAUGAAGGUUUUCGAUUGUAAAGCUCUGUCUUCCGGGACGAUAAUGACGGUACCGGAGGAGGAAGCCACGGCUAACUACGUG